AUGUGGCAUAAAGCACCAUGUUCAAGUAGGGAUUACAGCGGGGUGCGGGACAGUGGACCGCGUCAAAGAGAUGAGGAUGGCGAUGAUGAUGGUGAUGUUGAUGAAGACGGUCACCGCGAUGAUGAUUCCCCUCCUAAUGGCACUCCGGCGCCACCGAGAGUGAGGAGGGGAGGUUCUCUCCCUUGUGCUUCCUCCUCCAUGGCCUCCCCUCUGGAUGGGGAGAGGUUCUCCCUCUGGUCCUUGGCCUUCAUGGUGAUGAUGGCCCCUCCGGGAUCCUCUUCCAUAGCCUCCGGUGAUGAUGGCGCCCUCCGGCAGGGUGCCAGAGAGGGCCUAGAUUGA
rnacentral:rRNA from 1 species